GGAGCGGAUGAGAUACUCGAUCUGCUUCAGGAGGGACUCCACGGUGAGAGGUGGCAGGUAGGAAAGGGUCUCGAACUUCUUGAUGCCCUCAAUUGGCCACACCUGCAAUUAGAUUAAAAUUAGCACACAAAGUGUGAUUUGAGACACAUAUCGAUGGAGUAUUUCACUUCACACAUAUCGGUAUGAUGAUAUACAUACCUGCAUGCUCGUGAUCCUGCCACCGUUGGAGACGCUGCCGAGGCCAGCGCCGGCAGAGCGGCGGCUGACGGGGAGCCCGGCGGUGGACUUGAGGCCCCGGAAAGGAGCAACAGCGGUAGCCGCCGCCGACAUCACUGUCGGACCCAUAGCAUCCACCCUUGUAUCACUAGAGUAUAUCUACUUAGCUAAUAUGCUAAGUUUGGCACGGAGAGAGGAGGUCGAGUGGACUUCAUUCCUGGUCACAAGGGUUUAUAUAUACCAUAUAACAUACGAGCAAUUUGUGAUUAAUUUGUUGUCGUUCUAGGAGAUGUGGAAAGGGUGGAUGCCGUUCGUUGGUUGCCUUAUCCGUUCUAGAGAAGGGAUGGAUGACCGACGCUCGCUCAGCCGUCUCCUUCGUCCAUCGUUGCCAAUCUUUCUAGCUAUAAUUGGAAGUUCCAAAGGAACAUACGGUUUCAUGCCUACUUCCAUCGGCCUAUCAUGUACCAAUCCAAUAAAAGGACAUCGUUCAACCAUCAAUCCAUGUGUGUGUAGUAAGUGAUUGGCUACGAACCUUCAGCUGACUUGCUUUAUUGGAUAUUUCUGUAAAGCGAGUCCACGGUGUGUGGGUUUAAAAUCUCGUGGCGGCAACUGUUGACGGGUGCAAAUAUCAGUAGCCUUAAAACAAUAAACUUUACUCCGUCCCUUCCGAAAUGCAAGAAUGUCCUAAGUCAAACUUCUUAUGCUGCAGGACCAUAGUUUUUGAGGUGUUCUUCUCACGAGUCCACGAAGAACGGGAAUUUUUUGGUGUCGGGUAAGGGCGGGGGAAUAUAUAGAUGCUAGCAUCAGCAUGACGGGCUAACGGGUCAGGUAGGAUUUUGGACGACGUAGCACCUGACAUGUGGGGGCCACAUGUAAGAAAACCUGUCAAAAUGUCAUAACCCUCUGUUUUGGUCAACUUGAUACAAUCUGAUACAAAACGUGUGGUUUUCCUGACAAAUUAGCAAAUUUUGUGUCUCUGUGAGAAGCACGCCCCAAAAACUGUGGUUCCGUGAAAUUUAUUCACUAGUUACACUUUAUCUACAAACAUCUACGAUUCUAAAAUAGUUUGGUAUAUAUUUUCCGUAAUAUAAUUAUUUGAUAUUCUAAAUUCGGGGAUUUGUUCUUAUAAACUUGGUCGAAGUUUAAAAAGUUUGACUUCGGACAAAGUUACGACUUUUUACAUUUAGGAAUGAAGGGAAUACAUUUUAGUAAAGCAAUUGAGGAAUUGACAGAAUUAAAUAUCUUAAAUUAUACUGGUCCAUCGUGUACUCAUGGCAACAAAAUAAAUUUAUAGUCGAAAAGUUGGACCAUGAAAACUUAAAACGUGAUACAUUAAAAUUGUUGAAUCACUCUACAUCUUGUAAUUUUCUCUUGCAACCUUCUGGCGCGCUACUCAUUCCACAUUUGGUACUAUAUGUAUAAAUGUAUAUAUAUACCGCAUUAGGAGCCUCUAUUACUGUUUUAGUAUAAAUAGCAGUUUCCAUCGACUAUGCACUUCAUUAACUUUUUCUUCACGAGAUAACUUGCUUAUCGAUUUUCUUUAAUUAUCCAGAUGGCUUCUACUAGUUUGUUUCCUUGCUUACUGGGAUUUCCGCAGACUUUACGGUUAGGUAUUAUUGUCGUGUGGACAACACGGUGGCCGGAUGUUGAGAUGAUGAUGUCCUUUAUCUCCGUGUUGCUUCUGAGGACUGCGGAUCCGAGGCUAGUGGCGGUAUGGGAUGCCUCUCUACCUCUUGAUCAGGUCAAUCCGGCUCAGCAAGAGGCGGAUCGAUGGUGGCCGGUGUGACUAGAAGCGGGGAGGUAUAUAUGAAACGUUUCUUGCUUCCAGCAUCUCUUCUAGCGGUAUAUAUGUCGUCAGCUGGUUGAGGGAUUGAUGGCAAUCGAUCAUGGCUACGAUGACAUGUAUACGCGCCGGUAGGAACACAUAUCAGGCAAUGUCGAUGCACCUGCAUUGGGCCCUUGCUGAAGGUGGUGGUGCGUAUGGCAGUCUAAAGAUUUAAGACACAAAUUUAGACUUAAAACUUAAAUAAUCAAUUUGUGCCAGCGGGAAACACACAAACACGUACCGGUAAAUUAUCAUAAUCAGAAUUUGUCGACGAAUUUGAUAUUCUUUUACAAAAUAUACUUAUCUUAAUAUGUAUAACCGGAGUUUAUAUUACAUGCCCCUCUCCCAACGAUAGUUGUAGUACUCUUAUAAUAGUAGUACUCAUGAAUACAGUUAAUCCGGGUUGUUGGGAGAGAUCACAUGCAUAAAUACAACAUGAAACAAACGUGUGAAAAAGGUACAUAAAAUCGGUGUGACCCGUUCUUGUAUUAUAAGAAAUCAACUUGCUUAGGCCUUGCCGGACUCCUCACAACCCGGUGGCUUGAAGGCGAUGAAGCUGAUGCACUGCACUUGCCUGGUGUUGUCGAAGCCGAUGAUGCGGACAUAGGCGUCAGGGUACUCCUUCUUCACCUCCUCCAGCUCCUUUAGCACCUGCGUGGCGUCGGUGCACCCGAACAUGGGAAGCUUCCACAUUGUCCAGUACCUGCCGUCGUAGUACCCGGGAGAGUUGCCGUGCUCACGGAAGACGAAACCGACCUUGCUGAACUCGAGGCAAGGAACCCACUUGGAGCGGAUGAGAUACUCGAUCUGCUUCAAGAGGGACUCCACGGUGAGAGGCGGCAGGUAGGAAAGGGUUUCGAACUUCUUGAUGCCCUCAAUUGGCCACACCUACAAUUAGAUUAAUAAUUAGCACCGAAAGUAUAAUUUGAGACACAUAUCAGUAUUUCACUUCAACAUAUGUACAUGAUGACAUACAU
rnacentral:lncRNA from 1 species